UACGAAGGGGGCUAGCGUUGCUCGGAAUUACUGGGCGUAAAGGGCGCGUAGGCGGCACUGUUAGUCAGGCGUGAAAGUCCUGGGCUCAACCUGGGAACUGCGCUUGAGACUGGCAUGCUCGAGUUCGGGAGAGGAUGGUGGAAUUCCCAGUGUAGAGGUGAAAUUCGUAGAUAUUGGGAAGAACACCGAUGGCGAAGGCAGCCAUCUGGACCGACACUGACGCUGAGGAGCGAAAGCGUGGGGAGCGAACAGG
rnacentral:rRNA from 1 species